rnacentral:rRNA from 1 species
UACGUAGGGGGCAAGCGUUGUCCGGAAUCAUUGGGCGUAAAGAGCGUGUAGGCGGCCCGGUAAGUCCGCUGUGAAAGUCCAGGGCUCAACCCUGGGAUGCCGGUGGAUACUGUCGGGCUCGAGUCCGGAAGAGGAGUGUGGAAUUCCGUGGUGUAGCGGUGAAAUGCGUAGAUAUCGGGAAGAACACCCGUGGCGAAAGCGGCGCGCUGGCCACUACUGACGCUGAGGAACGAAAGCUAGGGGAGC